rnacentral:rRNA from 1 species
UGGCGACCGGCGCACGGGUGAGUAACACGUAUCCAACCUGCCGAUGACUCGGGGAUAGCCUUUCGAAAGAAAGAUUAAUACCCGAUGGCAUAGUUCUUCCGCAUGGUAGAACUAUUAAAGAAUUUCGGUCAUCGAUGGGGAUGCGUUCCAUUAGGUUGUUGGCGGGGUAACGGCCCACCAAGCCUUCGAUGGAUAGGGGUUCUGAGAGGAAGGUCCCCCACAUUGGAACUGAGACACGGUCCAAACUCCUACGGGAGGCAGCAUG